rnacentral:SRP_RNA from 1 species
GCUGGUCAUGGUGGCGGGCACCUGUAAUUCUAGCUACUAGGGAGGCUGAGGCAGGAGAAUUGCUUGAAUCCAGGAGGUAGAGAUCGCAGUGAACCGAGAUUGCACCAUGGCACUCCAGCCUGGGUGACAGAAAAAAAAAAGUUGACUAAGGAACAUUCCUGUUUUUUUUUUUUUUUUAAACAGAGUUUCACUUUUGCUGCUCAGGCUGGAGUGCGAUGGUGCAAUCUUGGUUCACUGCGAUCUCCACCUCCUGGGUUCAAGCGAUUCUCCUGUCUCAG